AAGUUAUGUAACUUAGUUAUUAACAUAAAGGUUGGAUGGUUGAAAAUUGGAGUAUUGGGUUCAAAUAACCAAAAACCUAGUUAGAGGGACUAAAAGUGGCAUUUGGGACAAACUUUAUAAAAAUUCAGGUUUUAAGUGGGGAAUAUGUAUAUGUCGACAUAUACAUAUGCACAGAAAGAAGAAAAAGAAGUUUUCCCCACAACUCUCUAAAUCAAGGCAAUUGAAGAAGGAUUUGAAGCUAAAAUCAAUGCAUGAAUGAAGAUCCUUCACCAUCUAGCUUUAAUAGACAUGUGGAUAGGAAGCACAUUGGCACGGACUCAAGCAUGGAAGGCUAACAGGUCAAAAGGAGGCGAGGAAGCAAGCACAGACAAGGAUGCUUAAAGUUGCACGGAAUUAACAUCAUUAUGGAGUCUAAGAGGUUGAAGAUCGAGUCAAAGAGCAAGGAUUGUAUGGGAAGAGUAGUCACAUGACUUGUAUUUAUAUAUUACAUUUGAUGCGUUAAUUAAGAAUGAAGGUUGUAAAUAUUUUCAAGAAAGUGUUUGACAUUUUAGAAAUGAACCCCCAAGUAUGUAAUAUCGAUAAGAAAGAAAGAAUU